AUUGAACGCUGGCGGCAGGCCUAACACAUGCAAGUCGAGCGCGCGGCGGACGGGUGAGUAAUGUAUGGGGAUCUGCCUGAUGGAGGGGGCUAUCUACGUGAGACGGUAGCUAAUACCGCAUACCCUCAGAUGAACCCCUAUGGGAUUAGCUUGUAGGUGGGGUAACGGCUCACCUAGGCGACGAUCCCUAGCUGGUCUGAGAGGAUGAUCAGCCACACUGGAACUGAGACACGGCCCAGACUCCUACGGGAGGCAGCAGUGGGGAAUAUUGCACAAUGGGCGCAAGCCUGAUACAGCCAUGCCGCGUGUAUGAAGAAGGCCUUCGGGUUGUAAAGUACUUUCAGUCGGGAGGCGUUACCGACAGAAGAAGCACCGGCUAACUCCGUGCCAGCAGCCGCGGUAAUAC
rnacentral:rRNA from 1 species